AUGAUUCUGUUCCUAAACCUGUUCUCCUUAAUUCUACUCCUUCAUGCUGUCCAAUCUGAUGCCCAGUUGGUGGAGUCUGGAGGAGGUGAGAGAAGACCUGGAGGUUCCCUCCGUCUCUCCUGCCAAGGUUCUGGAUUCGCCUUCAGCAGCUACUGGAUGCACUGGGUGAGACAGGCCCCAGGGAAAGGCCUGGAAUGGGUGUCAUGGAUAAGUCGUAAUGGAGGUGAUGUCACCUACUCGGACAAGCUGAAGGGCUGCUUCACCACAUCCAGGGACAAUGCCAAGAGCCAGCUGUAUCUGCAAAUGAACAAUCUUAGAAGUGAAGACACGGCAGUCUAUUAUUGUGUGAGAGACACAGUGAGAGGAAGUGAAUCUGAAGCUAAACAAAAACGUUCCUGCCUUUAA